GACGAACGCUGGUGGCGUGCUUAACACAUGCAAGUCGAACGGAAAGGCCCUGCUUGCAGGGUACUCGAGUGGCGAACGGGUGAGUAACACGUGGGUGAUCUGCCCUGCACUUCGGGAUAAGCCUGGGAAACUGGGUCUAAUACCGGAUAGGAGCCAUUUUUAGUGUGAUGGUUGGAAAGUUUUUUCGGUGUAGGAUGAGCUCGCGGCCUAUCAGCUUGUUGGUGGGGUAAUGGCCUACCAAGGCGGCGACGGGUAGCCGGCCUGAGAGGGUGGACGGCCACAUUGGGACUGAGAUACGGCCCAGACUCCUACGGGAGGCAGCAGUGGGGAAUAUUGCACAAUGGGCGCAAGCCUGAUGCAGCGACGCCGCGGGGGGGAUGACGGCCUUCGGGUUGUAAACUCCUUUCGCUAGGGACGAAGCUUUUUGUGACGGUACCUAGAUAAGAAGCACCGGCUAACUACGUG
rnacentral:rRNA from 1 species